rnacentral:rRNA from 1 species
UGGGGAAUAUUGGACAAUGGGCGCAAGCCUGAUCCAGCCAUGCCGCGUGAGUGACGAAGGCCUUAGGGUUGUAAAGCUCUUUUGCCGGGGACGAUAAUGACGGUACCCGGAGAAUAAGUCCCGGCUAACUUCGUGCCAGCAGCCGCGGUAAUACGAAGGGGACUAGCGUUGUUCGGAAUCACUGGGCGUAAAGCGCACGUAGGCGGAUUUGUAAGUCAGGGGUGAAAUCCCGGGGCUCAACCUCGGAACUGCCUUUGAUACUGCGGAUCUCGAGUCCGAUAGAGGUGAGUGGAAUUCCUAGUGUAGAGGCGAAAUUCGUAGAUAUUAGGAAGAACACCGGUGGCGAAGGCGGCUCACUGGAUCGGUACUGACGCUGAGGUGCGAAAGCGUGGGGAGCAAACAGGAUUAGAUACCCAAGUAGUCCCUGAGCGGGCUGGCAAGGCGCAU